rnacentral:rRNA from 1 species
AACGAACGCUGGCGGCGUGCCUAACACAUGCAAGUCGAGCGAGAAAGGGGGAGCAAUCCCCUGAGUAGAGCGGCGAACGGGUGAGUAACGCGUGGGCAAUCUGCCCUCCAGCCCGGGAUAACACCUCGAAAGGGGUGCUAAUACCGGAUGACAUCAGCCCGGCGCAUGCCGGGCUGAUCAAAGGCGGCCUCUGCAUGCAAGCUGUCACUGGGGGAUGAGCCUGCGUCCGAUUAGCUAGUUGGCGGGGUAACGGCCCACCAAGGCGACGAUCGGUAGCCGGCCUGAGAGGGUGACCGGCCACACUGGGACUGAGAUACGGCCCAGACUCCUACGGGAGCAGCAGUGGGGAAUAUUGCGCAAUGGGCGAAAGCCUGACGCAGCGACGCCGUGUGGGGGAUGACGGCCUUCGGUU